AACUGAUGCUGCCAGUGCUCACGUCACUGUGUUACUCGCUGUAUCAUUUCUCCUGAAUUCAGUAAACCUUAUUCUCAACAUAAGCCAUCUGAGUCUCCAGAGUGUCCCUGAGUUUGCCUCCUGAUUCCUCUUUUCAGACAUUGCAGAAUUCCCUAACAGAUUGGCGUCAUGAACAGGAUCUCCUCACAACAAAGACUGGUAAGUGCAAAUUUUAACAAAUUUUGCAAACUGCCAUGUCUGAGUUUGGUGAGAUUAUGUACCUGUUAAAACUUGGUUAAAAAAACCUAAAACUUUGAAAAUUAAGUUCUAUGAUACUGAAUCUGCGAUGGUCUGAUAUUGAAUUUGGACAUUAAAUGCCAGUUGGCUGCCUCAAGAGGCGAGUACGGCGCACUACGCAUGUGGGUUUCAGUAAGUCGGCGCUCGUCCACUGCUGGACAGAGGCAGUGUAGAGUACACGGAUUGGGUAAUGUACCUGGGUCGCCUCUUAAAGGAGGGUGACUCGACCUUAGGGGACAGCCUGUGGGUCCUUCCACCUUUGAGAACGAGGUUCUGGGCAAAUUUAAGUGCUUGUCUGUGGAAGGCGAGAUGAGCGUCCGCCCUUUGGUUCGGCGGGGUUUAAGACUCUGUGGAAUUUUGUCCCGGAGCUAGGUUAUGCGCAAACCUAUUGAUUCAAUACGUUGAAUCUGGUACCCAGAUCCACCAGACUGAAAUCCCACGUUAAAUUAGAGGAAACUCCUAUUGAAUUCUGGCACGAAAUUUCCUAUAAAUUGUGUAAAAAGAAUUUUGAACUUCAUCUAACAGAUCAGACUGAAAUUUUCCCUGAUCAUAAUUGAAAAUUGACACACAUAAGAGUUGAGAUGCAGUUGAGAGUGAUGGCUAUGCGCCUGCUGUUUGUCUUCAUUGCGGUUUUGUUUCUGUGUGUGCAUGAAUGCCUGUUGUUGAGUGAAAGAAAUUAACCAUGGGUUGUCAUCAGUCCAAAUCAGGCGAGACUCAUUGUUCAAAUGUGAAAUCAAUUAAUAAUUCUCAUAAAGCACAAUCUGAAUCUAACUCUGAUGCAUCCACAGCUAAAAUUAAAUCUGAUGCAUCUACGCUGGUCAGUGUAGCAGGAAUCCAGUCAUUAGCCAGAGCUAAGAACACAGAUGAGAAACUUAAGAUCAUUGCUCUUCUUCAGGAAGAAUUGACUAAGAUAAAGACUAAAAAAAAAAAAAAAGUUGAAUCUGGACUAACACAGAACCCGAGUCAGGAUCAGGCUCAGUUUCAGGAAAUGGUGAUGUAGAAAAAGGACAGAGUAAUGAUGAUUUGACGAAAAAGGAUAAACAGUCUGCACGUUCUUUACCUGUUUUUCUUCAAAGUGAUAAGACGGAGGAGUCAGAGCUUUCUGAAACUAAUCCAGCUUUCCCUAAAUGCAUGAUCGUUAACACAGCUGUGUGUCAGGCUUGUAGCUCAGCAGAGACCAGAGAUAUAGUGUUUAGUGCACCAGAUCCUUUCACUAGCUUGAUGAAAUAUCUUGAUUGGUUGUGGGUUACAGCUACAUUGUAUAAUGUUCUAGUUCCAGACAUGAAGGUAUUGUUGCAUUGCACCUAUGGCAUAGAGUGGUCCGAGGUUGAGGAAUCUUUUGAUCUACCCCCCACUGAGAAUGUCCAGUGACCUGACAACAUAGACAUGCUGACAUGGUUAACAGAGAAAGCUAAAAAGGCAGUGUUUAAACAUGCACGCUGUACUGCUAAACCUUACAAGCUUAAUGUUUGAUAAGAUAAGAUAAGAUAAGAUAAAGUUCUUUAUUUCUCCCCACUCCAGGGGAAAUUUACAUUGUUACAGCAGUUUUAUUUACAAUAUAUACAAGGGUGGCAAAAUUUUUAACAGAAAAAAUAAAAAUAAAAAUAAAGUUUAAAAGUGCAAAGAUGUGCAGUGCAAGAAUGUCAGUGCAAAUUUUAUGGUUUGGGGUGGUAAUGAUAUAGUCCAGUUUAUGUUAACAUCAGCCAGUGAUGCUGAUGUUGUAAAGUCUUAUAGCAGAUGGGAUGAAGGACCUGCGAUAGCGCUCCUUCUUGCAGGGUGGAUGUCUCAGUCUGCUGCUGAAGGAGCUGCUUAAAGACCCCACAGUGUCAUGCAGUGUGCAGGAUGAUGAUGAGCCCCUGCCGACAUUUAUUGAAUGGUUUGAUGGAAAUGUACAAGGAUGGUUGUUUUCUCCACUGAAUGAUCUGCUAAGGUUAAAUAAAUGGUUCAGGUCACAGAUCAGCCCCAGUGUCCUUCUUCUCAGAAGGCCACUCCCCGAACAGAGCAGAAACGCAGACAAUGCUGGAAAUAUAGGGAAUGAGACACUGGGCCAGAGACUGCAGAGCACCUAGGAGCUAAUCAGUAGAAUGGAACGUUUUCAACUCUGUAAACACUAGAGUUUAACAUUCCCCUAUUGAAAAUCUAAUAUGAACAGUAGUAAAAAGGAAAGGGAUCAAAUCAAAAUUAUUUUUUAAAAUAAAAUGGAUCUUUUCUCUGAUAUGACUUCAGCAUCUAAUGGUUUGGUAUUGCUGUGCUCAAUACUGAGAAACUAAAAUUCCAUCUGUUCUGGAUUUAAAUUAAUUAUAAUCUUAAAAGUUAACUAUAUUAAAUAAAUUAAUGCCUCGGUAGUAAAUAAAAUAAUGUUGAACUUUUAACCUCUGUAGUUUAAGGAAAUUAUAUAAAUAACUAAUUUCUUUCUGGUUCAUCAUGAGAAAAUCAAACUUUUACAGAGUAAAUUGAGAGCAGGAUAAAUAGAACAAGAAGAUCAAUCGGUAAAAUUAGUAAAAUAUAAUACAAGCUGUGCCUAUCAAUAUGUUUUAAAAUAUCUUGUAACUUUCUGCUGUAUGUUUCACUGAUAAUGUUUGCAUUCCUAGUUCUAAACUAAUCACUGUAGGCAUUUCAGGCACCCCAUAAUUAAAUUAUUUUUUGAACAAGCUUAUGUUUCAGAAGCAGGAUCAGAUGUGGAACAUACUUUCUGAUUCUUGCAGGAACACUUUUGAGUCUGAUGGGAAGAGACCUUCUUUGUAAAUUAAACACUGGUAUUAAUUGUACCUCAGAUUACUUGUUUCUAGAAAAUAAUAAAAUCAGUUCAGUGUUUGCAAUCAGCUAAUGAUUUUCAAUAUUAGACUGUGGAAAGUUUUAAUAUGAAAGACAUCUUUACUGCUAAUCACAUACAAGUAUUACAAAAUCUUGUCCAGUUUGUGCGUUUGCUGUCUGCUAUGAGGUCUGUGUUGCAGUGUUCAGGUGUUGCUGCUGAUAAUCCAUCCACUGAGUAUCAAAUUAUAACUGUGACACUUACACUUUUACUUAUGACAAAAAUGAUAAAAUAAUCUGAAAGGAUUUUACUGGUUUAUGGUCCAGAUUGGGUGCAUUUUAGCUAUAGAACUAACAGAUGCACAAUAAGCUCUGUGCAAAGAUCAGGUUGCUCUGCCUCACAUCAAGGUCGUUGUGUCGACUGGGGCAGAAGUAAAACAACUGAAUGUUUUCAUAAUAAGGUGCAUCAGUCAGCGAGAGACUGUCUCCAGUCCACUGAUUGCUGCCGCAAAAAAACUUGGGGAUGAUAUGUCUUUCUUAAAACCUAAUAAGAUUAUCUUCCUAAAAAGAAUGUUUGUUUUACAGGAAGCACCCUUUCAUAUUUUAAAUGGACCCCCUCAAAUUUAUCUGAGGUCCCUAACAAACUAUGGGCUAAACAAAAGAAUCAUGUGGGAUGUGUGACAACUGUUUUACCUCAUGUUGCUGAAGUUAAAUCUAAAAAGUUACACUUAAUGCUGUAGUUCCUAAGACUAAUCAGUAUAAGUUAUUUUAAAGGGCAAUCGUAGGCAUAGAGGGCUUAAUUCAGUCUCUCUUGGAUCAAGGAUUGUUAGUGGAGAGAAACAGUCCAUGUUACACUCACAUUUUGCCAGUUCCUAAACAUAAUCAUUCUGAUGAAUGGGGAUUUGUUCAAGAUUUGCAAGUAAUUUAUAACAUUGUCAUGCCUUUGGCUUCAAGUUUACCAGACACUAAUUCUAGUUUUGCCUCUUUGCCCCUAGAUUCUAAAUAUUACCUCAAUUGUUGACCUGAGCUGUGCAUUUUUCUCUGCAUCCAGAUAGUUAUUAUCUGUUUGUAUUUCCAUACAAAGGGUGUUAGUUGACGUGGACCAGGCUCUACAUGGCUUUGUUAGGAGUCCUGCAGUAUGUGCUGCUUUGGUGGGGUGUGAUUAGGUGAAUUUGCACCUGGCUAGUGAUAGCACUCCCCUUCUUCUCUUUCCUCCAAAAGAAGUCUGUCACAUGGACUCUGUGCUUCUGUUAAAGAAACUGGCUGAAAGAGGUCACAUCACCUCACUGUCGAAGCUACAGUACUGCAGUCUGAAGACCACCUAUCUGGGUCAUGUGUUGUCUGAAGGAAAGCAGAUGUUUUCUCCUAAAAGACUGACACUGCUCAAUAGCAUCAAGUUAUUGUCAUCACUGGAUCUGUGUUUAUGCUGCUAUGGACUCUGUGAUGAGCUGCCACACUGCAGGAGGCUCCCCUGUAGUGGAAUGGACAGAAAGCAUGCAUAAGGCCUUUGUGGAUGUAAAGACUGCUCUGGUUUCAGCUCCAGCCCUGGGAUUGCUGGACUAUAUGCAACCGUUCAAGCUGUACGUCAGAGAGAGAGAGAGGGGUUUGCUGGAAGUGUGCUGGUGUGGAAACACUUGUCAUACCAUCGCUGGGUGGCAUAUUACUUAUCAGGGCUCUGUACAGUAGUGCGUAGCAUGCCUGGCUAUUUAAGAUCUAUGGCUGUGGUUGCAGCGCUAGAAGAGAAAUCUGCACCUCUGGUUUUAUCUCAUGACGGCAUUGUAUAUGUUACAUGCUUAGUGGUGUACAUAAUUAAUAUAGCUGCCAUACUGAACAUAAUUAACCACAUAUAGAUCAAGUAAUGACUCAAUCAUUUUGUCCAGUCCACACAUCAUUCUGAAAAGAGCACCUGUUUUAAAUUGCAGAUUUCCCUGAAUUAUAAUCUGUUCUAAAUUCUGCUAUUCUUUCUCCUAUUGCAGAAUCAACUGCUAAUCGAGGCUGUGAGAUGGUUAUAAGCUGUGGGACACCACCUAGACCUGACCUGUAGCAGAGAAGGAUUCUAAAUUGAAGUUUAAUUUAAUACACAGAUGGUUCAACCAGCAGACCCUCUGACGUCACACGUCAUGCAGGUGAUGCUGUAGUCAAUGACUAGUAAAUAGUGGAAGUGGGUACUCUCCCCCCUGAGUAGCUCAGUACAGCCAGUUGAACUGUUUGCUGUUAUUAUCUCCAAGGACAAGGUCUCUAGCCUUUACACAGACUCCUGCUAACUUUAGGAGCAGCUUGUGAUUUGGCUCAAAAUAUGGAAAUAGAGAGGAAUUUAAACAUCAAGUGGAAAGCCACUAGAAAAAAAAAAAGCAUAAUCAAGGCUCAACAAUUUGAUUAAAGCAAUUUUAUUGCUUAAACAAUUGGUUACUGUAACAUGUAAGAGACAAUUUUGGUUCUAACCCAGUUGUAGAACAACAAAGUGAAUUAUAGCUGGAUUAUAAUGGGUUUUAUUUCAAUAAUAACAUUGUUUGUUCCAAAUUAGAGCCUGAAACAUGAACCGUGAAAGACUUAGAGAGAGUUCUAAUCAACCACUUUGGAUAGUUUAAUUGAUUUAUAGAAAAUUAAACUCAUUUUACUUUAUCAGAUGUAAUGAUUUGCUAUAUUUCUUCGGUCAGUUUUGUGGGUUUAAACUAAUAACAGAACGGAGAAUAACUUUGAGGUUCACCUCCGGUUCUAAAAAUUUGUUAUUGGUGUUUUAGAAUAUAUCAUUUAAUACUCAAUAAAAGAAAUUAGAUGAAUUAACACUGGAUCUCUAACUACACCACGCAGUAUGCAAAGUUUAAAAUUGUGUGAGAAACAGAUGACUGAAGAAGGGAAUUCAGUUUUCUGUUGUGUUUGGGUGUUUCUUUGUUUAAUAAGAAAGCUUUGUGAUUAAAGAAAUUUUCUUUCCAGCUGAAAACUAGGAGUGUUUUUAAGUUAAAUAUGGUUGAUAAAUAGUUACGCGCUCAUGGAUGAUGUGGUAAAGACACUUAGGAGUUUUUUGGGUUACAUUGUUCAUCUACAUUCUCUCGUGCUGUAUGCGGUUCAACUUGUGUUGCAAAAAGAGGGAUAGAUGAGAUCAGUCAAUCAUAGAUGAGAUCAAUAAACAAAAUCACAAUGGUUCUGCCAGGAUUUACAGCUUAGCAGAAAUAUUAAGGUCUCCACAGAACUCAGGAUAGGUAGAAAGAAUUAAUCAUACUAUAGGUAGAAAUAUUUAAAUUUUACUAUCAAAGAAAAAUGAAAAAAAAAACAUGUUGAAAACAGGGUUAAAAUGGCAUGAUGCUCUCCCAGUUAUCCCAAUUGUGCUGUAUUCAAUCCGCAAAACUGCAAAUUUGACCACAGGACUGAGCCCUCAUGAGGUUCUCAUGGGUCGGCCUAUGUCCACAGGAGCUAGAGCACCUUUGAACACACAAGGUUACUCUGUUAUGGACUGAUGAAUGAAUGGCUGAGUGUGUGAAAAUUGCUAACUGAAAAUUUCAUUUACAGGUCCCUGACAGGCUCCCAGAACCAUCGAGGAGCACAUUCAUUGUUUUAAGUGUAGUGAUUGUGUACUAAUCGAGUGUUCGGAAAGAAUCUCUUUCUCUUAGGUGGAUCCAUAUCAGGUGAUGUUGGUGAUCAGAACGGCUGUGGAGGUCGAGGGCUGAGCAGAGUAGGUCCACGAGACACGAUGCCGACUAGCAACGGUGGACAAGGAGGGGCCUGGACAGGAGUGAUGUGGAUGCUGAUCUUACUACUGACGGUUCACAGCCACUCCCUGAACGACGGAGAAACGAGAGAAGCACCUGGAGCAUCUCCUACAGGAGAAGGCCUCUCACCCCCUGGGUUUGCUAUGCUUCUUUCACCUGAUCCUCUGAAACCCAAUACAUUCACCGGUGCAGCCCCAGCACCGUACAUAUACACUGAUACAUGAAGUAUGGAGCAGAAGAAAAGACAAUGAACUGUUCGAAUUGCUCCUCACUCACUGACACAGAUGAUCACCAGAGAGAAGAGAAAAGAGAAAUUAACUCUGUGAACUCUAAAUCUGUUCACAAUUCUACAGGGAACACACCUACGACUGAGGACAUCUUCUAAUGUUCAAGUGCCAGGUGUAAGGGAGAUGACUGUUACACUGGGUGUGGCUAUUAUAAUAGGGUAAAUGAGUGACAGGAAGUUAGCAUGAGCAAAAUCACUCCUCACAUGAGGGCUCUGUUUGCUGUGAUUUUCAAAGGUGAAGUAAUACUUUUGACAUACUAUAGUGCUUAAUGAGUUGCUGAACACAACUGUGUGAUUUGAAAUGUAAAAAAUUGAAAGGGUCAAAUAAUUUUUCUCAACUGUUUGGUAGAGGUCAAUAUUUAAAAAAAAAAAAAAACCCUCUGCAACUAAUCAUAAAAAAACAACAAACAAAACAUUGACUGUUGUUAUUAGUGCCCCAAAGACAUAAGAAAUAGGAAGUAAUAAUUUUUAUUGCCUUUUUCUUGGUGAGAAUGUUAAAGGGUUAAGCUACAUAAAGUUUCUAGGCAAAAGGUUGAGGUUACCAAUCAUUAACCACUUUCAGGAAUUCCAGACUUAUCACAUCACACAUCACAUCACUUGUAAAUUAUCCUGUGUGUGGUGAUUAUGCAAUUAAUUUUAAACUGUUUCUUUUAGGUUUAAAUGCCUACUGAAGAAGAAAACCACCUGUUCAGCUUAGCAUAAAUAAAAUAAUGCAUUCUGUGGCAGAGUCUAGAGAGACACACAUCAGGAGUAAUGAGAACUCCACUGUGAGAUUGAUGCUGGGUUAUGCACAAGAACGUAAUCUAAGCAAGUGUUGGGUGUAUCAGAAUAUGCCUAAUUCCAUGUAUUCUGCCGUGUUUACAGCAAUAAUUUCUUCUCUAGCAGACUAUAAAGCAGUAAACUGGAAUGGUUUAGAUUAAAGGAUGGAGAGAGGUGCAGCAGACUGCUUCUCCCCUGACUUUCCCAUAAACAUUACUGAAUUUACUAAAUAGUAGCAAAUGACAAAAUAGGUUGCAUAAGAUGUUAACAAACAUUUCCUAGUCUAGAUUAAUUCAUGCAAAUUACUGACAAUCCAAUCAGUCAAACUCUACAAUGAAUUGACUAUGAAGCCUGGAGUGUUAUUACCAUUAGUUGAAACCAACUGUAGAAAGUCUUAUAUAAAGCAUCCUUUGAAUGCAAUAACGGGGGUGCAGCCUUGGUUGGGGACGCACACCAUAGAAAAACAGUGUAAAUAUUAAUAAUUGUUAAGUUUGAGUUCCAAAUAAUGAACCCUCAUUAGGAAAUUGCAAUCAGUAUCUGGCACCUAUUUAGGCUCAAAUCAAAUGUGUUCCUAGGCUUUAAAGUAGUAAUAAUAAAAAUAUUGAUUUUAUUUAUGUGGCACAUUUAAAAAUAGCGUUCACUAAGUGCUUUAACAGUUAAUAGAUGUAAACAUAGAAGACUGAGCAAAUUAUAGGAGAGAAGUAAGAACCGUAAACAAGAAUAAAUAGUAUAAUGACAAUAAAUUAAAUGACUUAAUUACCUAGAUUGGCACGUGGAAUGUAACAAGGGAGAUAGGUCAUUUGAGAAGUAAAUUAGUGUUGAGGGUAAAAAAUUAAAAGUGAUAAAAGUUAGAGAAUUAAAGAGCUAAAGAAUUAUUACAACAAAGAACCAGAUAAUUAAAAGUAAAAUAGAAUAAAACUAAGCAAAAUAAGAGAAGAUAUUAAUAAAAUGAGACAGAACAUCUCAAAUAAUCCAGACAACCUACAGUUUGAAACAUUAAAAUAAAAGUAAAAAUAAAUUUUUCAUAAAAGAAAGUUUAUAAAAUUGGAUGGAACUUGUCCUUCUCCUGGAUGAUCAGGGAGGAACUUACAAAGUAAUAGUUAAAGGUUGAAAUAAUUUCACAGAUUUGAUUUUAGAAAGUUUUCAGGAUUGUUUGAAUUUUUUAGCGCAGGCCUGAUUUGAAUCAGAUCUCUAACAAUAAUAUUAGUGUUAAUGGUUUGCUUACUAGCUGUAGUCUCAUUUAAUAUUAAUAUGAUAAAAUGUGUGCUAAAGCAUGCAACAAGUAGUAAUGUUUUUGAAGUGAUUAAAUUAGUAAUAGAUAAAUAGUGGAUAAUAUAGAAUUGGAUAAGUGGAUUAAAAUGUAAAAUUUAGAUUUAAAUAUCAGUACAAAAGAUAGUGAUUGCUGGAUGAAGAAUACUGAAUAAUUUAAUAGUAACUGGAAAUUAUACUGUGAUGGAAGCAUUUACCUUAGAAUUAAUCAAUGAUUUUAACAACAUUUUAGUGUUAUUUAUGAAUUUUACUAGAUGUGUUGCUGUAUACUGAUUCACACAUUGCAUCAUUGUGCUCAUUUGAGUUGUGCUGAACUGAGAAAUAGGAGGGUCUCGAACAUCAUUCCCACGGUGUGAAUGGAACGAAUAAAAGAUGAUUUAGACCAGAUCAGUUAGAGGGAUGCAACUGCUUACACACACACACAACAUAUCCAUAUACAUACAAACACCACACACAUCUCAUACAUGAUUUUGUCACAUCUACACCACAUUUAUUAGUUUUGUUUGAAUCUUAUUCAUCAAUUGUGCCUUAUAAUAAGUUUUAUAUUAUGUUGUAUGUUUUUGAGAAUCAUGAAUAACAUGACAGUAACUGUGCUGCCUGGAUACCAACUGAAGCUCUUAGGGAAACAGGCUAAUGAGCUGUUAUGCAGAUCUCUAGGAUCGCUGCCCCAUGAAUUUGGUGUAGUCAAACUAUUUCCAAGCUUAUAGGGGGGUGGUAGGAAAUUUUUGUCCCACUGGGUUUUCGUUCCUACCUGCAUAAACCUUUGAGGCUCACAGUCUGUUAGUUGACUUAUAACAUCUAAUGUGUAAUUGAAUUUAUUAUUAAUUGAAUUUAAAUGAUGUAUUGGAGAAUGUGAUCAAUUACGUAGUGAGUAUUUUUGAUAAGAAAUGAAUGUUUUUAAAUGUUACAGGAUCAGUUUUCUGGAGCUCUCUGACCUAGGUUUUUCAAAUGGAAAUUUUCCCUUUUACUUAAUGUUUAGGUUUGAUUUUACGAUCAAAAAGGAGGGAUUUGUGAAGGAAAAAUUACUCACUUUCUCAUGACUGAGGUGGUUCUAGUUUAUGACAGCCUAAAUGCUGAGUCAUCCCAAAUGGUCACCCUUGACUCAUGCUUCUCCUAGAUAGAGGAUACAAACUUGUGUAUGCUCUCUCUGUCCCCUAAUAUGACCCUGAGACAGACAGACGCUUGGUAAACAUAACAUAGGUAUAAAAGACCAACUAUCUGGCUGACGAUGUCAGAACAACAAGGUUAUAUUGCUGUGUUCCUGUUCAGAUGGAUCCUGAACUAACAGUCCUGCCUCCACAUUUAGAGUAUAACAUCAACCAGUGCUCACGUCACUGUUACUCGCUGUAUCAUUUCUCCUGAAUUCAGUAAACCUUAUUCUCAACAUAAACCAUCUGAGUCUCCAGAGUGUCUCUGAGUUUGCCUCCUGAUUCCUCUUUUGACAUCACAGAAUUCCCUAACAGUUUUCCGACUGAAGAAACAAUAAAUGUUAAAAAAACAUCUGUAUGAAGCUUCAUUACAUCAGACCUGCAGUCAGAGCACAAUUAUGUCUCAAUGGAGCAACUCCAGCAAACGCCAUGGAGGAUUUAUUAGCCCUUUUCAACGUGAACACGGACCUUCCGAUAUCUUACCAGGAUGAAACAAUUCCUG
ensembl:lncRNA